UAAUAUUAUGAACAUUUUUGGUAAUAAGAUUUAUUAUAUGGUAUAAAUAGGUAAAAAUCUUAAUUUAAAUUAAUCGAGCACAAAAUAAAUAUGCAAUAUCGGGUGAAAAAAAGAAGAAAGAUUUCUAUAGAAAACUAGGCAAUGGGGACAAGCAUGGAGCCAUGCGCAAUUAAGCGGUCCUAUCCCUCCCACCUUCUCAUGUACCUCUAUAAUACUUCUCUCAAUCCCAACUAACUUGCUUCUCUCUCUCCUCCAUUUCAAUUCUCUUCUUUUCUUCUCUUAACUGUACUAUCGUCGUGUUCUACAUUUGUCUCCUUCCUUUCUCCCAGCCCCAUCACCUCUAGCCAAUCACUACAAUCAAGUAACCAAAGAAAGAACAGGUAAGCUUUUACACUGUUGUUAUGUUACAUGUAAUAGAAAGUUAGGUAUAUGUAUACUCUUAGUAAUUUAGAGAACCCUCGUCUUCCAUUCAAAGAUGUAUCUUCCAUUUGCCUAUUUGCCUAUUUGCCUUGGAGAGGUACAUUGGCGGAUUAAGUGCAUAUUCACCUC
rnacentral:lncRNA from 1 species